GGCAACCCAAUUGUUUAAAAAAAAAAAAGUUUUGAAAGUUGGGAAGGAACACACGUUACACCCCCAACCCAUAAACCAUUUAAAAAAACCCUGGCUCGGCAACGGUGGUCGAUCUCAGUCUUUCAGUCAAAAAUUGAAAUCUAGCUCUCUUAGUUCUCUCUAUCUCCUUGAAUCUCUGUCUCCUUUCUUGCUCCUUGGCUUUGGGUCCUUAAAAAGAUGACGUCGAGACUCGAGAACCCAGUUGGCAAUCGUAGUCAUGGAAUCGUGAGGACUAAGGAGAUUGGUGAUGCAAAGAUAGCCGAAGUUGACUUGAUAGCCGAACGAUUUCUUGCAAUGCAAAGAUAUCCAGUAGGCACUCGGCAGUCGCAAUCAUGGAACCCAAUCGGCAGUUGCACAAUUUCUUUCCUCUCGUAUUGAAUUGGGGAGUUGUUGGUAAUAUGGUCGGCAGAUUACUGUAUGGCCUUCUCAUUUCCCGUGGCCAACAGAUUUGUUGAUUGAUUUGCUCAGAUUUUGGAAAUUGUUUAUUUGCUCAUUCUCGUCGGCCACUCCGGUAAUACUGUAUUUUUUAAUACUCACCAAGGGAGAAAGUGGGAUUCUCUUGCAUCCCUCCUUAUCAUUAAUGUAUGAAUUUGUUUUUUUGCGAUGCUUGUCAAGGGAGAAAGUGUGAUCCAAUGGCUCCCCCCUUUUAAUUACUUCGUAUUGAUUAAUCCACUUAAUGGUUAGUUUUUUUGUAUACUCUCUAUGAGAGAUAGUGGAAUUCCCUUGCAUCCCUCCUUGACAUUAAAUGUGUGAAUUUGUUGUGUUGUGAUGCCUGCCAAGGGAGAAAGAGUGAUGCAAUGGCUCCCCGCUUUUAACGAGAGUGGAGUACUGAGAUUUGAUAAGGUGGAUGAGGGAGUAUUAGGCCGGAUGGAAUGGGCGUGGUGUGCAGGGUGGGGCCCCCUGUUGGAUGCCGACAUCUCUGGUUCGAGCCUCUUAUUGGUGCCUUGUUCCUCUGUAAUAGCUGUUCAGCUUCCAUUGAUGCCGUAUUGCUAUGUUGUUGCUA